rnacentral:rRNA from 1 species
GAUGAACGCUGGCGGCGUGCCUAAUACAUGCAAGUCGAGCGAACAGACGAGGAGCUUGCUCCUUUGACGUUAGCGGCGGACGGGUGAGUAACACGUGGAUAACCUACCUAUAAGACUGGGAUAACUUCGGGAAACCGGAGCUAAUACCGGAUAACAUGUUGAACCGCAUGGUUCAACAGUGAAAGACGGUCUUGCUGUCACUUAUAGAUGGAUCCGCGCCGCAUUAGCUAGUUGGUAAGGUAACGGCUUACCAAGGCAACGAUGCGUAGCCGACCUGAGAGGGUGAUCGGCCACACUGGAACUGAGACACGGUCCAGACUCCUACGGGAGGCAGCAGUAGGGAAUCUUCCGCAGUGGGCGAAAGCCUGACGGAGCAACGCCGCGUGAGUGAAGAAGGUCUUCGGAUCGUAAAACGCUGUUAUUAGGGAAGAACAAAUGUGUAAGUAACUAUGCACGUCUUGACGGUACCUAAUCAGAAAGCCACGACUAACUACGU